UGGAAAGAGGAUUCGUCCAAUUGAAGCAGAGGACAGUGGCGGACGGGUGAGUAACGCGUGAGGAACCUGCCUUUCAGAGGGGGACAACAGUUGGAAACGACUGCUAAUACCGCAUAGUAAGAAAGAUUCGCAUGUUUCUUUCUUGAAAGAUUUAUCGCUAUGAGAUGGACCCGCGUCUGAUUAGCUAGUUGGUAAGGUAACGGCUUACCAAGGCGACGAUCAGUAGCCGGACUGAGAGGUUGAACGGCCACAUUGGGACUGAGAGACGGUCCAAACUCC
rnacentral:rRNA from 2 species